CUGCUGCUGGGCGUGUAGCUCGCCCUUCCGGCCAGUGGGGUGAAAGACCUGAGCGAACGUGGGAGCCCCACGCCUGAGGACUCCUCCUGCGGGUGUAUGGUUCCUGACAGAUUCUCCCACAGAAGGCGAUCGCGUGUGCUGGCUACCUCCCCUCCGUCCACCUGUCUCCUCUCUGUCCAGGUGAGCCCUUCUGACCGGACCAGGUGGGCUUCUGCUCAGGCUCAGCCAACGGGGAGCAUCACUGGUGGAAGGUGAUUGGAAGGGCCCACAUAUGAGUGCCAUCACCUGUCUUGCUCUGCCUGACUUAUUUCACGGAGCAUAACGCCCUCCAGGUGCAUUCACGUUGUCUGAUUUGGAAUCCUAACGCCACGUGCAGUGUCCCCUUCACAGCAGCACCUAUGUGACCAGGGCGGCACCAUCCGUGGUCAGUCAAGUGGAUGCACGUGCUCCCCCUCCCCCCACACCGCCCCCUCUGAGAGGAUGUGCUGAGAAAAGCACUUCGCCGGCUGCCUUUGGGUUUCUCCGCAGGACGCCCCAAAGCGGUCAAAGUCCUCAAAA